rnacentral:rRNA from 1 species
UACAGAGGGGGCAAGCGUUGUUCGGAAUUACUGGGCGUAAAGGGCGCGUAGGCGGCCGCCUAAGUCAGACGUGAAAUCCCUCGGCUCAACCGGGGAACUGCGUCUGAUACUGGGUGGCUUGAAUUCGGGAGAGGGAUGCGGAAUUCCAGGUGUAGCGGUGAAAUGCGUAGAUAUCUGGAGGAACACCGGUGGCGAAGGCGGCAUCCUGGACCGACACUGACGCUGAGGCGCGAAAGCUAGGGGAGCAAACGGG